AGGCUGUGAUAAGUCAGGACUGGCAAUGAAGAAAAUCUAUUGCCCCUCUGUAAAACCUGAUAGGAGAGAGACUCAGAGCUGUGCUGUGUCAUUUUAUUCUUUAUUUAUUUUUAUUUAUUUUUUUAUUUUUUUGUCCUUUCUCUGACUCUUCUCCCUGUUAUUUAGCAACUCGCUGAAUACUUGGGGAAGGAACAGUCUCCCAGACCCUCUUCCUUUCUUCCAAUGAAUAGGGUCUGCCCUUUCCCUUUCUUAGAUAAAGCUGAGGAUUUUCAGAAAGAGAGCAUUCACUGGGAACAAAGGAUGGGGGUCUUUUUGGCGACCUGGCCCAAUUUUGUCCUCAUCACCUUCAACGGGAGCACGUGGGCUGAGAGAGCGCCCAGAGCUGAGAGAGCUCGGAGGCUCCAGCAGGAAGCAGAGCUUCAAAGCCAGAGAAAACCACGGGCAAGAGACAGAGGCUCAUUCCUUUCAAGAGACAGAUAUAUGCUCGCUUCCCCCAUCAUCUUGCUUUUUAAAAAUAGCCCUAAAAAUUGAAAUGCAUUUUUGGCCUCAUUUUCCUCCUUUUCUCUCUCUCCAAAGGAACUAGUGAGAGAAACCAACCUGCAGAUUAACAUUGAAACCAGGCCCAAAUAACUUAGGCUGUUCUUCAUCAAAAUGGAUGGUUAGGAAAGACGGGAGCUACAGUGGAAAGAAUAUUCUUCAGGAGAUAACUACUCAAGCCCAUUCCAGAAGAGUUGUUCCUUAAGAUAUGCAUGUGUCUGCCCAACAGUGAUGCCCACUUGGGAAGCCACAUAUCUUAGUGAUUAAGAGCAUGGGCUAAAAUGCUAGACUCCAUGGAUUCAAAUAGCUCCACCACCUCGUAGCAAUGUGGCUGUGGGGACAUUGAGUCAAUAUACCUGUGCCUCAGUCUCCCUAAUUUAUAAAAUGAAACUGGCGAUAGUGUUAUCUACCUCUAGGGUUACUGUGAGGAGUAAAUAUGAUUAUACGUGUAAAGAGUUUAGAAAAAUGCCUGGCAAACACCAAAUGCCAAAUAACUGCUAAUUAUUAUUAUAAGUAGCACAAUUAACAGCAGUGAACUGCUGUGAGCCAGGUUGUGUGUUGGAUUUGAAAGGAUAGUUUGGGUUUAUUUUUUUUACUGUUGUUGUUGCAACAGAAGUAAGUACUCUAACCUGAUUUGAGAUCCUUCUUCAGAGUUUGGGCUUGAGGACAAAUUUUGACUAGACAUAAAGGGAGAGAAGUUCACAGGCAUUCUUAGUUGUUUGAUUACAAACCAAAGAGCUGCUCAUCUUGGUAAUAUGGGUGUCUUAGAGUAGUAGCCUUCCAACUUUAUGGUUUAUAUUUUAAAAAAUAUGUUUUACAAUGUGACUCAGUACACACCAACUGAAACAGAAGUUUCACAAAGAAAACAUUAUCCUUACUUUAUGUGAUGCACUCUACAAUUUUCUGUCUUACUCUGUUCUAUUGUAUUUCAUUUAAAGGUGCUGAUGAUCACUCUUAAGUUGAUAUUACCCUCCACUAAUGGAUCUCACUUUGUGAUAGUUACUUUGUUAGUUCUCAAAAACUGCUUGUUGAAUUGAGUUGAAGUAUUCUGAAAUAGGGAUUAGAAUAUGAGAAGGAUAGAAACAAGUGCAUAUGGCAUGUUCAAGUUUUAAAAUACUGCUGAAGUGAUAAAAGUUGAUGCUGAAUAUAUAUAUGGAGAUAUAUCUCCAGUAGGAUCAGGAAAGCAUUAGAGCCUAACAGAACAGAUAAUGUAGAUUUAUAGAUUACUAUGAAAUCAAAGUUGUUAAACACUAUAAGAACAAUUCUGAGAAGCUGGGGGAAUUCAGAGAAAGCUGAGAUGGCUUUCAGCUGGUAAUUCCUGGUAUCCUUCAGGAUUCUGUUCAACAUAUUGUUCAUUCAUUCAUUUGUUGGAUGAGUAUUUUUUGUGUUCUCACUAUGUGCCAGGCACUCUCCCUUGGCUCUCAUACAUCUCCUUAGUUUCAACAAAUGAGGAUAACUUGGGUUUUUAGCUGUUCAUUAGGCACUUUCCAGCAUGGAAAGGCAAAUCGUUUUACUCAAAAUCCCAGUUGAAGUCCCAGUACCUCCUUUUGGCUUUGACUUGUGUCAUCCUGAGCUAAUUAUUUUGUCCAGGACAACAUAAUGCUCGAAUUGUCUUAUGUCUGGGUGACAUCCAUUACCCUGGAUUGAGGGGUGGAAACUGCUUUACCAGAAUUUCAUAGUCUGAGGAUGGGGGAAAGGGUGGUCUUGAAUUCCAUAUUUUGUUUCACAACCUAAGUCUAUACAUUCUGUUUCCACUGCCUGGGAAAUAGUCCUUCAUAAUUUUGCCUAACUAAUGAGUUAUUAUUUGUCCUUUAAAACCCUGCUUAGUAAUUAUCUCUAUUGUAAGAUUUACUCUGAUAAACGGAGCUAAUUAUUUUCUUUUCUAAAUUCUUUUGAACUUUAAACAUAAGUCUGUCAUUGAAUUUAUCAACCUAUAUUAUACUUAUCUGUUUCAGGGUCAUCUCUCCCACUGUACUGUGAAUUACUUCAGUGCAGGAACUGUCUUAAACAUUUUUGUAUUCCCAACCCUCAGCUUGAAUAUAGUAGGUACUCAAGAAAUGUUUACUAAACCAAACUGUUCUUCAUAAGACUAGUCAGGCAGCAAAAUGUAAUAUCAAGUAGAAAAGGAAAUACUGGAUAUGUUUCUUAGGGACAGUUAAAGAUACAUAAGGAGGUAUCAAAGAAGAAAUCAAAGGGAAAUUAGAAAUUGAGAUGAAUUAAAAUGAUAACACAACACACCAAAACUUAAGAGAUGCAGCUAAAGCAGUGCUCAGAGGGAAAUUUAUAGCUCUAGUCACCUAUAGUUUAAAAAGAAGAAAUAUCUCAGAUCAAUAACCUAACUUUUCAGCUUAAGAAACUAGAAAAAGGAAAGCAAACUAAACCCAAAGCAAACAGAAGGAAGGAAAUAAUAAAGAUCAGGCAAUAAAAUAAA
rnacentral:lncRNA from 1 species